AUACUGAGGGUACGAGCGUUAAUCGGAAUUACUGGGCGUAAAGCGCGCGUAGGCGGUUUGUCAAGUCAGAUGUGAAAGCCCUGGGCUCAACCUGGGAACUGCAUUUGAAACUGGCAAACUAGAGUUUGGUAGAGGGUGACGGAAUUCCAGGUGUAGCGGUGAAAUGCGUAGAUAUCUGGAGGAACAUCAGUGGCGAAGGCGGUUGCCUGGACCAAAACUGACGCUGAGGUGCGAAAGCGUGGGGAGCAAACAGGAUUAGAAACCCCAGUAGUCC
rnacentral:rRNA from 1 species